ensembl:lncRNA
UUGGCCAACACCCCCACCAACCCCAUCCCCUCCAACUCCUCCAACGCCGCCCGGUCGUAAGCGAAGGCGGCCAAAGCCAACAGCACCCUUGGGUGCCAACCCCGAGCUUUUGGGUCCCCCAAGAGGGUCACCAGGGUCCCCAACCCCCCUGCCGCCCUCACCUUGGCCCGGUUGACGGCUUCACGGCACAGAAGGCAAAGAGCCCGCAAUGCCGGGCCGCCGCCGUGGCAAGGGGCUCCAGUGGGGGGCAAACGUUUGCCGAUGGGCCUUUGGGGGACGAUGGAACCACCAGGAGCACCAGCAUGGCCGCCACCACCAACCACGCGGCUGCCGGCAACGUGGCUGCCAACAUGGCUGCCAAGCCUGGCGUCGUCACCGACGCCAUCGUGGCUGCCAACAAUAUGGCCGCCACCAACAUGGCUGCCAGCCCCAUGGUCAUCACCAACGCUAGCAUGGCUGCCAACCCCGUGACUGCCACCAACAUGGCCGCCAACCCUAGAAUCAUCGCCAACACCAAUAUGGCCGCCAACCCCAUGGUCAUCGCCAACACCAUCAUGGCUGCCAGCAACAUGGCUGCCAGCAACAUGGCCGCCAGCAACAUGGCUGCCACCAACAUGGCCGCCAACCCCAUGGCCACCCCCAACACCAUCAUGGCCACCACCACCAACCCCAUGGCUACCCCCAACAUGGCUGCCACCAAGAUGGCCACCACCGCCAACGCCAUGGCUGCCAACAACAUGGCGGCCGCCAACAUGGCCGCCAUCCCCAUGGCCACCACCAACCCCACGACCACCCCCAAGACCACCAUGACCGCCAUGAUGGCCACCACCACCACGAUGGCGACCAGCACCACCAUGAUGGCGACCACCACCACCUCCAUCCCCACCACCUCCACCAUCACGACCACCAUGAUGGCAACCAUCACCACCAUGAUUGCAACCACCAUCACUUCCAUCUCGACCACCACGAUGACCACCACGAUGGCCACCAUGAUGGCCACCACCAUCACCUCCAUCCCCACCACCACGAUGGCCACCACGACGUCCACCAUCAUCGCCUCCAUCUCCAUCCCCACCACCUCCACCGCAGUGACGACCGCCAUGACGGCCACCACCACCACCACCUCCGUCCCCACCGCCCCCACCACCCCAAUGACCCCCACCCCCCCGACCCCCCUCCCCAUUUCCACCUUCCACCAUCCUCAUCACCUCCCUGGUCACCACCUCCACGGCCCCGACGCAACCCAAAGCCGGCCGCAGCGCCGCCCGGUGGCACAAAUUAGCAAUGGCGGCUAAGGCCGGACGCCGGCGAUCUCGUUCAGGAGAUUCUGCUAAUUGAGUGAGGGUCCGAAGGGCCGGGAUGGCGUCGUCCAAAGAUGAACUCGGGGGUUCCGUCAGGUGCCGCAGGGCUCGGGUGACCGAAGUGCAAGCCGGGUGGGUCGGGGGUAAAGUGGCCAAACGGGAAGCCACGGCACGGAGAGCGCCGGCGCGGCAAAGGGAGGCACGGGAGGAUGGAGAGGAAGCCAGGAUGCGGAGAGCGCGGGAGGAGCUGUGCAGGCACUCCGGGGUGGUGCAGGUGGAGGUGAGAGACACCAGGAGGGGAACGGCACCUGGAAGGGGGGGAGAGAAAGGGGGGGCUAGAACCUGUGGUGGUGGAGAAUCCAUUAGGG